GUCUACGGCCAUACCACCCUGAACGCGCCCGAUCUCGUCUGAUCUCGGAAGCUAAGCAGGGUCGGGCCUGGUUAGUACUUGGAUG
ensembl:rRNA 5S_rRNA 5S ribosomal RNA